rnacentral:rRNA from 1 species
UGGGGAAUAUUGCACAAUGGGCGCAAGCCUGAUGCAGCCAUGCCGCGUGUAUGAAGAAGGCCUUCGGGUUGUAAAGUACUUUCAGUCGGGAGGAAGGUGGUAAGGUUAAUAACCUUGGCAAUUGACGUUACCGACAGAAGAAGCACCGGCUAACUCCGUGCCAGCAGCCGCGGUAAUACGGAGGGUGCAAGCGUUAAUCGGAAUUACUGGGCGUAAAGCGCACGCAGGCGGUUGAUUGAGUCAGAUGUGAAAUCCCCGGGCUUAACCCGGGAAUUGCAUCUGAUACUGGUCAGCUAGAGUCUUGUAGAGGGGGGUAGAAUUCCAUGUGUAGCGGUGAAAUGCGUAGAGAUGUGGAGGAAUACCGGUGGCGAAGGUGGCCCCCUGGACAAAGACUGACGCUCAGGUGCGAAAGCGUGGGGAGCAAACAGG